rnacentral:lncRNA from 1 species
CACAAAUCAAUGUUGCUUCCCCACACCAAAAACCCCUCUUCUCAUCUCUUCCUCUUCUCUUCAUAGAGGGGAUUUUGCUCUUUUGCUUUCUCUGCCUCACCUCAAAUAUGGCUAAGUACUUCGCCUUUCUGCUUCUCGCUCUUUUCGCCAUCUCCAUGCUGCACAUUCCCGUGAGUAAUGUGUGUGUGUGUGUGUGUUUUCCACAUCAAAUAAUGUGAUUUAGUGCGNUUUUCCUUUCGCCUAGGGCCCCCGGAAUGUCAGGGCCGGCCCUGCUUCUAUUCCGAUAUAUUUUCAACCUCAUUUAUAUAUAUUCAAUACUUACAAAAAAAACUACUCCCCCCCUGUCCCACGAAUUUUGACACGUUUGGUUUCGACACGAGAAUUAAGGAGUUGUAGAUUAGUGUUUUAAGUGUAUAGUUAAUAAAGUAUAAAAGUGAUAAAGUAGGAGAGAUAAUGUAAUAACUUUAUUUGAAAAUGUGUUAAGAUUCGUGGGACGGCCCAAAAAGGAAAACAUGUCAAGAUUGGUGGGACGGAGGAAGUAAUAUUCUCAAGUAUAUCAUUUAGUAAUUGUCUAAUUAAUAAAUCAACUCUGAUGAGUUUCUUUCUUCAUUUUAUACACAUAUUUCAACCAUUAAUUUAUUAAAAUCGAUGCCUUCAAACCACUGCCAUAAUUUUAAUAGAUGGCGAGAGUAUUGUACAUAAAAUUAAAGGGUUUAUCAAAAUUACUACUACUAAUUUUUAAUGCCAAAAUCAUCGUUUGUAAUUUGUAAACUACUGCGUUUAUUUCGUAUUUACGAAGAUAGUGAUUUGAAUAAUUUCAUGAAUUUGACUCUUAGAAACCGGCGUUACUUCAAUUUCCAAGAGCAUUAUUGGUGAAGGCAAAUUAAAGGUCGAUCGAUUCAAGUAAUUGUUCAAGUUAUAAGUUUGUGUAAUCUGAAAUUCUGAAUGCAUUAAAUGAUUUCAAACCAUUUUACGUAUUGGCUAAAUUAAUUAUAUUCCUCGAAAUUAAUCAUCUACGUUUCAAAUUAAUUUGGUAGACUAUUGUACUGAUGUGAGAGUGAUGAAUAGAUCAUGUAACACUGAAGUGCAAUACAAAUUAAGAAGCUGGUUGUAUUUUUCCUCAAAAUUAGUAUUUCACAUCAUCAAAAUAAAUAAACAAAAUUAGUAUUUCACAAAGUGUGUGAAUCCAUCAAAGAUUUUGUAAUAUCAAUUAUUGUUGUAGUGGGCUAUAAAUAGUCAAUGAAUUCUCCAUCAACCAACCUGCUAAAACUUCUGUUCUUGUAUAUGUGUAGUGCAGAUCUAAACCGUAACCACAAAUGAAUAACAAGAAAAUGGGGAUAAUAAUGCCAGAGAGAGAAAGAGAGAUAGACUGUGUGAGGCAUGUGAUGCACUAUCUAAAUCUAGCUAGUAACAUCGAUUCACACGGAAUAUUUUAUUUUAGGGUAUGAUAUUCUUCAUAUUCUUUUUUUUUUUUUGGUAAGUAGAAGUAUAUUCACAAUCACAACUAUUACUUAGAUGUAUGUAUGCGAGGCAUAUAAAAAAUUAAGAAUUUAAGUAAUAUAGAGAGAGAAAUGUUAUGUUACGCCGAUUAUUAUUCACUUUUAGAUCACGUUAGCGUUAUCUUUUAUACUAUUUAUUUUGAUUCUAAUACUUGAUCAAAAUUGUUAUUGAGAUCAUUCAUUUUAUAAAUCACAUAGAAAAUCAAAACUCGAUUUCAUCAUUUUUCCUUUCAUUAACGUCAAAUAAUUAAUAGAAAUAACAAAUUGAUUUUUUUUUAUUUAAUUUAUAAGAUUACUAAUCACAAAUAACUUUUUUAGGUAUUAAAAUCAAAAUAAAUGUAUAAAACAAAGAAAAUAACAUAUAUUUAUCAUAAUUUUGGAUACAAAAGAAUUUUAAAAAUAUAAUCGAACAUGUUUUUACAUAAAAUGGGGGGGGGGGCGAGAACGUUGAUUAAAUUUUUCUAAUUUUGAUUAGUCAGAUCAGAUCUAAACUUGGGGGGUAUUUUAUUUCCGGUGAAAAAUUCCUAGAAAAAUAAAAAAUUUCAUUUAUGUGAGUGCAAAAUGAGAUGUAAAUGAUAGUAUUUGGUUGUGCAUAUGAAAAUUAGACAAGGUGGGACCUACAAAAAUGAUAACCACACCCAACCAUCGUACCUCUCUAUUUAUAGCCCCCACAAAUCAAUGUUGCUUCCCCACACCAAAAACCCCUCUUCUCAUCUCUUCCUCUUCUCUUCAUAGAGGGGAUUUUGCUCUUUUGCUUUCUCUGCCUCACCUCAAAUAUGGCUAAGUACUUCGCCUUUCUGCUUCUCGCUCUUUUCGCCAUCUCCAUGCUGCACAUUCCCGUGAGUAAUGUGUGUGUGUGUGUGUGUUUUCCACAUCAAAUAAUGUGAUUUAGUGCGUGAAGAAAAUGUGCUC